rnacentral:rRNA from 1 species
GAUAACAUAAGGGAAAAUAAUGAUAUUACCUUAUUAUUAGUGUCGUCCAAAACUGGUGCCAGAAGACUCGGUAAGGCCAGAGACACAAACGUUAAUCGUCUUAAUCAGGCGUAAAGGGUUUGUAGGCGGCUUUAAAAUUUACUUAUAAUAAAAAAACAAAACAAAAAUAAUAAGUAAAAAAUAAAAGCUAGAAUCAAAUAGAGGAUAUAUGAAAGAAUGCUUAGAGUAGGUCUGAUAUCCUUAGAUACUAAGUAGAAUAUUAAAGGCGAAAGCUUUUUUCCAUUAAUGAUUGACGCUCAGAAACGAAGGUGAGGAUAGGAAAUAGGAUUAGAUACCCAGAUACCCCUCUCUGUCAACGAUGAAUGGUAGUUAUUAGUAAAAAUUUUAUUAAUGGCAAUGUUAACACGAUAACCAUUCCGCCUUGUGAGUACAAUUGCAAAGUUGAAAACAAAAAAAUUAGUCGGUUUCGGAGCAAACGAAGUGAAGCAUGUUAUUUAA